rnacentral:rRNA from 1 species
AGAUGGCGACCGGCGCACGGGUGAGUAACACGUAUCCAACCUGCCGAUAACUCGGGGAUAGCCUUUCGAAGAAAGAUUAAUACCCGAUGGUAUAAUCAGACCGCAUGGUCUUGUUAUUAAAGAAUUUCGGUUAUCGAUGGGGAUGCGUUCCAUUAGGCAGUUGGUGAGGUAACGGCUCACCAAACCUUCGAUGGAUAGGGGUUCUGAGAGGAAGGUCCCCCACAUUGGAACUGAGACACGGUCCAA